CCUAGGGGAGGCAGCAGUGAGGAAUAUUGGUCAAUGGGCGGAAGCCUGAACCAGCCAAGUAGCGUGCAGGAUGACGGCCCUAUGGGUUGUAAACUGCUUUUAUACAGGAAUAAAGUUAGCCACGUGUGGUUAUUUGUAGGUACUGUAUGAAUAAGGACCGGCUAAUUCCGUGCCAGCAGCCGCGGUAAU
rnacentral:rRNA from 2 species